GAUGAACGCCGGCGGCGUGCUUAACACAUGCAAGUCGAGCGAGUGAGUUCUUCGGAACGAUCUAGCGGCGGACGGGUGAGUAACACGUGGGCAACCUACCUCAUAGAGGGGAAUAGCCUCCCGAAAGGGAGAUUAAUACCGCAUAAAAUUAUCGAGUGGCAUCACAUGAUAAUCAAAGGAGCAAUCCGCUAUGAGAUGGGCCCGCGGCGCAUUAGCUAGUUGGUGAGGUAACGGCUCACCAAGGCGACGAUGCGUAGCCGACCUGAGAGGGUGAUCGGCCACAUUGGGACUGAGACACGGCCCAGACUCCUACGGGAGGCAGCAGUGGGGAAUAUUGCACAAUGGGGGAAACCCUGAUGCAGCAACGCCGCGUGAGUGAUGAAGGUCUUCGGAUUGUAAAGCUCUGUCUUUGGGGACGAUAAUGACGGUACCCAAGGAGGAAGCCACGGCUAACUACGUGCCAGCCGCCGCAGUAACAC
rnacentral:rRNA from 1 species